CCUACGGGAGGCAGCAGUGGGGAAUAUUGGUCAAUGGGCGCAAGCCUGAACCAGCCACGUCGCGUGAAGGAUGAAUGCCUUCCGGGUUGUAACCUUCUUUUAUAAAGGCAUAAAGUGAGGCGAGUGUGCCUUUUUGUAUGUACUUUAUCUAUAAGGAUGGGCUCACUCCGUGCCAGCAGCCGCGGUAAUACGGAGGAUCCGCGCGUUAUACGGAUUUAUUGGGUUUAAAGGGAGAGUAGAUGGGUUGUUAAGUCAGUUGUGAAAGGUGGCGGCUCAACCGUAAAAGUGCAAUGGAUACUGGCAGUCUUGAGUACAGAUGAGGUAGGCGGAAUUCGUGGUGUAGCGGUGAAAUGCUUAGAUAUCACGAAGAACUCCGAUGGCGAAGGCAGUUUACUAAACUGCCACUGACAUUGAGGCUCGAAAGUGUGGGUAGCAAACAGGAUUAGAUACCCUGGUAGUC
rnacentral:rRNA from 1 species